CAACUCCUCCUUCACUCUUUCCUUCUCAACCACUUCAUCAAAGUCAGGAACGGCAGAGUUAAUAGGAUUAUUUUCGGGAUUAAAACCUGGCCCAGUUUGGAGGUUCGGAAUACCAGCUCGAAAUUGCUGAGGCAUGAUGGUGACGGUAGAUUUGCGCGGGUGUUCAGCUUGCGCUCGCUCAUGUGGAGGGGUGAAACCUG
rnacentral:lncRNA from 1 species